ACGGCUCUGAGCCGUUCAGGGAGAGGCAGGAGGAAAGACCACAGGCUCCACCAAGGAGGCCCGGAGAAGGGUUCCCAAAACUAGAGGAGAGCGCCUUGUGAAAGAGGCAACAGAAAGCCAGGAUCCCACCGUGAACUCCACCCUCAGCGCCAGCGCCUGCCAGAAAGCACCUACCAGUUCUUGUUCCACUUGUGCGCGAACUCUACCAUGAGCAGCAGCUGGAUGACUAUGAACAGGAAGCCUCCGACAGCACCCACAUAGCGCCAGACUGCAGGAGAGCGGGUCCCCAAAGAGCCCAGUGGACGCACCUUUCAGGAAGGUCUCCUGGUCCGGGAUGAAGAAGGCUCCAGAGCACAUGGCCCCCAGCAGCAGCAGCUUGAAGAACCAGAAGCUGGAGGAGAGGAAACAUGGAAGUGGCACUCCAGAGGCAUGGAGGCCCCUACACGGCAGCACCCAUCCUGCCCAGGUGAUGUUCUCUCCAUAAGGAGGAGAUGGAAGGAAGCCGCUGGAGACCCCAGUUAGACUGGCCCGAGCCCCACCCUAUUAUGCAAACACCGAUGCACCCGGGGGAGCAACCUGGGCCAGUGUUGCUCUGGGAAAUAAAUCCUCCCCGCCCAAGAACAGCAUUCUGGUCUCCAGGCCAGGAUCUAACUCUGGAGGGCGGGAUGAGGGACGCACCCAUUGU